rnacentral:lncRNA from 1 species
AUUAGUAGACAAUGGGGUCUUUCUAUCUUCUUGGUCUCCAAUGCACUUAAUACUACAAUACACCCUUGCACAUUGUUUCUUUNNNNNNNNNNNNNNNNNNNNNNNNNNNNNNNNNNNNNNUUUUUAAUGCAAACACUUCCAUUCAAACAGAAACAAAAGAUACAAAUUGCAUGUCAGUUUGCAGCUGAUGUGGGACAGAAAUGAUCCAAGUUUUGGAGACAAUACUCUCACAUAAACCUGCAAAAAUUAUGAGAUGCAAUAUUCAAGCUAGAAUGGAAUUGGCUAAAAAAAUUCAUACACCUUAAGGAAAUGGAGAAGAAUGGAGUUGGCUAAAAAAAUUCUGAACUUGUUAGAUAGUGCAUAGAUUAUGGAAAGGAGUUUAGUUAAGGUACAAAAAGUUUUAGAUUUGCAUUCUUAACACUUAGGCUAAGAAACUCUUAUAUAUUAAGAAAGCAAAAACAAACGGUGCAGACUGUAUACAAUGUUUUAUAAUAUAAUUAUUGCAUCAUAUUUUAUAUUAUGUGAAGCUAUAGGCUCACUAUGAUCACAUGUUCACUUUAACAUCCUAACGGCUACUACCAGUUCAUAGCUCAUUCCAUAAUCAUUUCACAUUAAACUAAAACAACCUAUCAACGUGUCAUUGCUACCUCUGCACCAACACCCGACAACAACCUCAAACUAAUUAGAACGGGAAAUUAAGAAAUAAACAGAUGAAGAAGAAUGAAGGAGUUUAAUGAGAGAGAGAGAGAGAGAAACAACUCAAAUUAGUAGAACGAUGCACAUUUAGAGAGAUGAAAUAAAUUAAAAAUGUAUACUUCUUAGAAGGAGGAUUAAAAAUCAUAUGGUCCACAUUUGAUUUUGGAAACAUAGCACUGCCUAAAUUCACAAUUUCAAUGGCAUAGAGUGUUGAAUAUUCAAAGUAAGCUUUCAAUAUCACAUAGAGUUUGAUGCAUGUUGAAAUCAAAUAAGAUAACUAACCAACAAGAGAAACAGGUAUGUUUGGAUAAUCAAAUUAAGUUGAAUCGAGUCAAGGGAAAUUAAUUCAACAUCUCACCUGAAAUUGGAGUACAGCAAGGCGAUUAGAAUGGAUACCCAAUCAAUCGAAGACAAAACUCUCAUUGAAGUUGAGCCUGGGGAGAAGACCGGCGAGCUCUACAAGAGACGACGACGACGGCGGCCGUUAGCAUACGCAAGCUCUAGGAGAGACAACGACGGCGGUUGCCAUUAGCAUACGCAAGCUCUAGGAGAGAU